rnacentral:rRNA from 1 species
CUACGGGUCGCUCCAGUGGGGAAUAUUGGACAAUGGGGGAAACCCUGAUCCAGCAAUGCCGCGUGUGUGAAGAAGGCCUGCGGGUUGUAAAGCACUUUCGGUUGGGAGGACUGCUUCUAGCACUAAUAUUGUUGGAAGUUGACGUUACCUUCAGAAGAAGCACCGGCUAACUCCGUGCCAGCAGCCGCGGUAAUACGGAGGGCGCAAGCGUUAAUCGGAAUUACUGGGCGUAAAGCGCGCGUAGGCGGCUAGAUCAGUCGGGUGUGAAAGCCCCGGGCUUAACCUGGGAACUGCAUCCGAUACUGGCUAGCUUGAGUACAGGAGAGGAGAGUGGAAUUCCACAUGUAGCGGUGAAAUGCGUAGAUAUGUGGAGGAACACCAAUGGCGAAGGCAGCUCUCUGGCCUGAUACUGACGCUGAGGUGCGAAAGCGUGGGGAGCAAACAGGAUUAGAUACCCGCGUAGUC